rnacentral:rRNA from 1 species
UACGAAGGGGGCUAGCGUUGUUCGGAUUUACUGGGCGUAAAGCGCACGUAGGCGGAUCGUUAAGUCGGGGGUGAAAUCCUGGAGCUCAACUCCAGAACUGCCUUUGAUACUGGGGAUCUCGAGUCCGGGAGAGGUGAGUGGAACUCCGAGUGUAGAGGUGAAAUUCGUAGAUAUUCGGAAGAACACCAGUGGCGAAGGCGGCUCACUGGCCCGGUACUGACGCUGAGGUGCGAAAGCGUGGGGAGCAAACAGG